CGUAGGGAGCAAGCGUUGUCCGGAAUCAUUGGGCGUAAAGCGCGCGUAGGCGGCCCGAUAAGUCCGUUGUGAAAGUCAAAGGCUCAACCUUUGAAUGCCGAUGGAUACUGUCGGGCUAGAGUCCGGAAGAGGCGGAGUGGAAUUCCUGGUGUAGCGGUGGAAUGCGCAGAUAUCAGGAGGAACACCAAUAGCGAAGGCAGCUCGCUGGGACGGUACUGACGCUAAGGCGCGAAAGCGUGGGGAGCGAACAGGAUUAGAUACCCUGGUAGUCCACGCCGUAAACGAUGGGCACUAGGUGUGGAGGUGUCGACUCUCCCGUGCCGUCGCUAACGCACUAAGUGCCCGCUGGGGAGUACGGCCGCAAGGCUA
rnacentral:rRNA from 1 species